GGCUCCCCCUCACACACAUACUCAGCACGGCCUUGAUGGUGAUGUAUGCAAGGAAACCAGUAAGAGUCAGCGAUGGGUGCAAUGACAGAAGGGAGUCACAAUCCUAUCAGACCCAUAAAUCCCAGCCAAAGAGCCAGUCCAGCGGCAUUCACCGUUAUGACAAGGUGCGUGAUGGCUCGUCGGAUCCCACACCUCCAUACAAGAUGCUGCGGCGUUCAGAUGAGAGUCCCUGUUAG